GAUGAAGAACGUAGCGAAAUGCGAUAAGUAAUGUGAAUUGCAGAAUUCAGUGAAUCAUCGAAUCUUUGAACGCACAUUGCGCCCGGUAGUAUUCUGCCGGGCAUGCCUGUUCGAGCGUCAUUUCAACCAUCAAGCCUCGCUUGGUAUUGGGCAACGCGGUCCGCCGCGUGCCUCAAAUCGACCGGCUGGGUCUUCUGUCCCCUAAGCGUUGUGGAAACUAUUCGCUAAAGGGUGUUCGGGAGGCUACGCCGUAAAACAACCCCAUUUCUAAGGUUGACCUCGGAUCAGGUAGGGAUACCCGCUGAACUUAAGCAUAUCAAUAAGCGGAGGA
rnacentral:misc_RNA from 1 species